AUGGCUCAGGAUGAACGCUAGCGACAGGCUUAACACAUGCAAGUCGAGGGGCAGCAUAAAAGUAGCAAUACUUGGUGGCGACCGGCGCACGGGUGAGUAACGCGUAUGCAACCUACCUAUCAGAGGGGAAUAACCCGGCGAAAGUCGGACUAAUACCGCAUAAAACAGGGGCACCGCAUGGUGAUAUUUGUUAAAGAAAUUCGCUGAUAGAUGGGCAUGCGUUCCAUUAGGUAGUUGGUGAGGUAACGGCUCACCAAGCCGACGAUGGAUAGGGGAACUGAGAGGUUGGUCCCCCACACUGGUACUGAGACACGGACCAGACUCCUACGGGAGGCAGCAGUGAGGAAUAUUGGUCAAUGGGCGGGAGCCUGAACCAGCCAAGUCGCGUGAAGGGAAAAGAAGGAUCUAUGGUUCGUAAACUUCUUUUGCAGGGGAAUAAAGUGCAGGACGUGUCCUGUUUUGUAUGUACCCUGAGAAUAAGGAUCGGCUAACUCCGUGCCAGCAGCUGC
rnacentral:rRNA from 1 species